UUUUAAAUAAAAAAUCACUCUCUGUUUUGAAGCGCCCAGGAAGUGCUCACGUGGAUAUUUUACUUAUGGGCUGGGUGGAAACUUUCAGAAAGCAGAACAAGGAGCCACGUUAGCGUCUCAAAAGUUACCGGACCACUAUACACACAUAGAGACGGCUAACCGCCCCCACCCCCAAACAAACAAACAAACAAAAGGCUACUGGUGGAUACAGUAGGCGCCAGGCAGCAUGAUGACGCGAAGGGGGAAGAUGGCAGUCUGUUCGCAUGCUAAAACCAUACACGAAGAUGAUCUCUGAGCGGCGUGGGGGAACCGAAUACUAGAUGAGAGAGUAGACGAGUACGCUGCAAAGCCAGACCCCUCCGAUGCACAGAGGCCCUUGUCUGCUCCAGGAGGCCCCAUCAUGCUGCCCAGGAAGCAAGCAAGAAACCCGAAAACGUCUCUCUAUCUUUUGCUGUGAAUUCAAGUACAGCACCGCCAAGAGUUCUAAACAGUCAACCUCCGCCUAGAAAGAUUCGGAAAACGAGCCCUAAAACACUACAAAUGGAAGGAAUUUUCCUAAAUUCUCGGGACCAGAGGCAGAGGUCCACCAGUCGCCCAGUGAGCCUGAGGCAGGGAAGUGAGGACCUGACAGCCGCUUCACAAGACGACAGAUACGCAGGGUCGCGAAUGGCACCGGAUCUGGGAACUUUCACAUUGAAAUUCCCGAGUCUCUUGGAAAUUCAGGAACCAAGUAUUUUUUUUUCAAAACCUAAUUCCUCCCGAUUUUCUUCAAUGGUCAACGGAAACAUAUAAAGAAAAUGAGAAUAAAGGGUUUUUUUUGUUUU